UGGCUCAGAGGUUAAGAGCACUGGCUGUUCUUCCAGAGGACCUGGGUUCAAUUCCCAG
rfam:Neotoma lepida isolate 417 scaffold_14, whole genome shotgun sequence.